rnacentral:misc_RNA from 1 species
UCUCCGUUGGUGAACCAGCGGAGGGAUCAUUACAGGACUCGCAAGACUCCUUCACCCUGUGAACCUCACUACAAGCACGUUGCUUCGGCGGGUGUCCCGGCGGGGGUUUUCCCGCGCCGGGGCGCGCAGCCCGCCGGCAGCCUACUAAACUCUGUCUCUGUGCAUCUGCAUCUCGAGAAAAAACAAACAAGUUAAAACUUUCAACAACGGAUCUCUUGGUUCUG